AGCGAACGCUGGCGGCAGGCCUAACACAUGCAAGUCGAGCGCCCAGCAAUGGGAGCGGCAGACGGGAGAGUAACACGUGGGAACGUGCCCUUCAGUUCGGAACAACCAAGGGAAACUUUGGCUAAUACCGGAUACGUCCGAAAGGAGAAAGAUUUAUCGCUGAAGGAGCGGCCCGCGUCUGAUUAGCUAGUUGGUGAGGUAAUGGCUCACCAAGGCGACGAUCAGUAGCUGGUCUGAGAGGAUGAUCAGCCUCACUGGGACUGAGACACGGCCCAGACUCCUACGGGAGGCAGCAGUGGGGAAUAUUGG
rnacentral:rRNA from 1 species